rnacentral:rRNA from 1 species
CUAGGAUGAACGCUAGCUACAGGCUUAACACAUGCAAGUCGAGGGGCAGCAUUGGGAUAGCUUGCUAUUCAGAUGGCGACCGGCGCACGGGUGAGUAACGCGUAUCCAACCUUCCUGCCAGUAGGGAACAGCCCGGCGAAAGUCGGAUUAAUGCCCUAUGUUCUUCAAUGCGGACAUCUAAGUUGAAGGAAAGAUUCAUCGCUGGCAGAUGGGGAUGCGUCCGAUUAGCUUGCCGGCGGGUAACGGCCCACCGGGGCGACGAUCGGCAGGGGUUCUGAGAGGAAGGUCCCCCACACUGGUACUGAGGCACGGACCAGACUCCUACGGGAGGCAGCAGUGAGGAAUAUUGGUCAAUGGGCGUAAGCCUGAACCAGCCAAGUAGCGUGCAGGAUGACGGCCCUACGGGUUGUAAACUGCUUUUAUGCGGGGAUAAAGUGCGGCACGUGUGCCGCUUUGCAGGUACCGCAUGAAUAAGGACCGGCUAAUUCCGUGCCAGCCGCAGC